rnacentral:rRNA from 1 species
UACGAAGGGGGCUAGCGUUGUUCGGAAUUACUGGGCGUAAAGCGCGCGCAGGCGGUUCGAUAAGUUGGGGGUGAAAUCCCCGGGCUCAACCCGGGAAUUGCCUUCAAGACUGUCGAGCUAGAGGACGAGAGAGGUGAGUUGAAUUCCCAGUGUAGAGGUGAAAUUCGUAGAUAUUGGGAAGAACACCGGUGGCGAAGGCGGCUCACUGGCUCGUUUCUGACGCUGAGGCGCGAAAGCGUGGGGAGCAAACAGG